UUCCUUCAGUUCGGCUGGCUGGAACACAGGUGCUGCAUGGCUGUCGUCAGCUCGUGUCGUGAGAUGUUGGGUUAAGUCCCGCAACGAGCGCAACCCUCAUCCUUAGUUGCCAUCACGUUUGGGUGGGCACUCUAAGGGAACUGCCGGUGGCAAGCCGGAGGAAGGUGGGGAUGACGUCAAGUCCUCAUGGCCCUUACGGGUAGGGCUACACACGUGCUACAAUGGCAGUGACAAUGGGAUAAUCCCAAAAAGCUGUCUCAGUUCGGAUUGUCGUCUGCAACUCGACGGCAUGAAGGUGGAAUCGCUAGUAAUCGUGGAUCAGCAUGCCACGGUGAAUACGUUCCCGGGCCUU
rnacentral:rRNA from 1 species